CUCAGCGGGGGAAGAACAGAGCGCCGUGCAGACAGAGGCUGGGCCAUCGCGAGUAACCCCGCACUGAAGCAGCAGAAUCAGCAAAGUCCAAGGACCUCCCACCUCUCAAGAACCUGCCUAGGCAGACCCUGCUGAGGAUUUUUGCUUCUGCCUGGAACACCUACUAACUCACAAUCUAUCCCUCAAGGCUUGGCGGGAAGCCUUUCCUCCAUGAUGCUUCUCUUGCCCCCUCGUGUUGCCCUGCUCACAUCUGCUGCCCCGGGUGUCUUUUGAGGGAUAUCAGACACACAGAACACCAGAAGGUCUGAGUUUGGUGGUGAGUUCCUGGACUGGGUAUGCAAGCUCUUCCUAAGUAGGAACCGUCCGACUCACGUCCUGGAAGAGGCUGA